UAGGCCUUACUUCACAAAUCUAAACAAGAUUACAGAAACUCAGUAGCUCAAGCAGGACAAGUAACAGGAAAAAUCAGUGGAAAACAAAUCCCCCAGUGCCAUGUUGCUUCCUUCCACAGGAAAGACUAAGAAGUUCUACGGUAAGAUAACUUGCUUCACUUCUUCAGACCCUAAUGGGCAUCCCGGCUGUUUGAUGGACCCUUUGCUGUGAGUUGCUAACACAAGUUUACUCUCCUUGCUUCUGUGCUUUCUUUCAGUCUGUAGAAGAAGAGGAAAAAAAUGGAGUACAGAAAAAAAGGGCUUCUUGCUACAAUAAUUUUUUUCAUAGCUGUCUGCAGCAAAGUGACCGCACAGGAAACAAGACUACUGGAUGUCCAAAAGACCACAGAUGUUGUAGAUGACCAGUAUGAUGGAUGCCGUGAUGAGGCCAUGAAGAAGUUCAUCGAGUCAGACGUGUUAAAACAAGAACUAAGCAACAGUGAAGGAUUUCAGAAAGCGUGGAAUAAAAGUAACGAGUGCUCAAAGCAGAUCCCUGGAGGAAGAAAAGAGCAUACUGCUGCACUUUCAGUCUAUGUUAAUGGAGAUCGACCUUUCAUAAAAACACUGAACAAAGCAAUAGAAACAAUGGGUGGAAAUGUUAGCAUCUAUGAAAACCACUUCCACUUCAAGUCUCUUCAUUUCCUGCUGAUGGACUCCAUGAGGCUGCUGAAGCCACAGGACUGCAAGAACUUUUAUGUUUUUCAAGAUGGUCAAAACAAACCACAGAAAGGCUCCACAGUGAGAUUUACAAGUUUCACCUCAGCUCAUUCAGACUAUGAAGAGCUAAAGAGCUUUGAAGAUGUCAUUGAGAAUACGAUUUUAAAUCUCAAUUCUUGUUUCUUUGUCAACCUGAAAGACUAUGUGUGCGGCCAAGAACAGGAUGAAAUACUCUUAUCUCCAGCAGAAGUUUUCACUGUGGAACAAGUGGAAACAAAAACUACAUCGGAUGGUGACAAAUACCUUGAGAUUGUUUUAAACCACUCAGGACUGAACAGCUCACACAACUGUUACAGCUUUCCACGGAUCUCAAGAGGGCAUGAGACUACCACAGCUGUCAUAGAGCGAUCCAGUGUUCCAGGAGUGCAUGAGACUGCCACAGUUGUCACAGACCGAAACAGGUCUCCUCCAGCUGUUGUCUCCACCCUGUGGCUUGUAUCGGUGCUUGUGGUCGUAGCUUUGUUGUCUUUAGCUGUUUAGCAAAAACAGUUAUCAUUCAGAGUUUCAGAGUUUUAUCAUCUACAGUAUUGCUGUGAUUCUUCACACAAUUAUUUGACACGUUAUCUGACUGAUUGUGUUGAAUUAGUUGUCUAAGCAGUAACUUUCUGCUUCUGUCAUAUGUUAUGAAAUAUAGACUGCAUGACUUCAGAAUAUUUGAUAAAGAUUUUAAAGGGGUGCAGAAAAUUGGUGUAAAAUACAGGGGGUUCAAAUUUCAGGCUUAUGUGCAACUGCUGAACACCAACUACAAAUAAUCUGCGAUCAUGAGAUGCUUUUAUUUGUUGUUAUGGUCACAUAGAUCGAUAGAUAGAUAUUGAUACACUUUAUAGACUUUAUUAAUCUUGCACAAUUCAUUUGUUGCAGCGGCACAGGGAUAAGCAAGAACAAAGUGAAUUUGAUAUAGAUUAGAAAAAAAGAAUAA